rnacentral:rRNA from 1 species
GACGAACGCUGGCGGCGUGCUUAACACAUGCAAGUCGUACGGUAAGGCCCUUUUGGGGGUACACGAGUGGCGAACGGGUGAGUAACACGUGAGUAACCUGCCCACAACUUUGGGAUAACGCUAGGAAACUGGUGCUAAUACUGGAUAUGUGCUCCUGCUGCAUGGUGGGGGUUGGAAAGCUCCGGCGGUUGUGGAUGGACUCGCGGCCUAUCAGCUUGUUGGUGGGGUAGUGGCCUACCAAGGCGGCGACGGGUAGCCGGCCUGAGAGGGUGACCGGCCACAUUGGGACUGAGAUACGGCCCAGACUCCUACGGGAGGCAGCAGUGGGGAAUAUUGCACAAUGGGCGCAAGCCUGAUGCAGCAACGCCGCGUGCGGGAUGACGGCCUUCGGGUUGUAAACCGCUUUCAGCAGGGACGAAGCUUUUUGUGACGGUACCUGCAGAAGAAGCACCGGCUAACUACGUG